GGGCUACACACGUGCUACAAUGGAUGGUACAAAGGGAAGCAAGACCGCGAGGUGGAGCGAAUCCCAUAAAGCCAUUCUCAGUUCGGAUUGUAGGCUGCAACUCGCCUACAUGAAGCCGGAAUCGCUAGUAAUCGCGGAUCAGCAUGCCGCGGUGAAUACGUU
rnacentral:rRNA from 1 species